rnacentral:rRNA from 1 species
GACGAACGCUGGCGGCGUGCUUAACACAUGCAAGUCGAACGAUGAAGCUGGAGCUUGCUCCGGUGAAUUAGUGGCGAACGGGUGAGUAACACGUGAGCAAUCUGCCCUUGACUCUGGGAUAACUGCGGGAAACUGUAGCUAAUACCGGAUACUUUCACUGGAAGGCAUCUUCUGGUGAAGAAAGAAUUUCGGUCAAGGAUGAGCUCGCGGCCUAUCAGCUUGUUGGUGAGGUAACGGCACACCAAGGCGACGACGGGUAGCCGGCCUGAGAGGGUGACCGGCCACACUGGGACUGAGACACGGCCCAGACUCCUACGGGAGGCAGCAGUGGGGAAUAUUGCACAAUGGGCGCAAGCCUGAUGCAGCAACGCCGCGUGAGGGAUGAAGGCCUUCGGGUUGUAAACCUCUUUUAGCAGGGAAGAAGCGAAAGUGACGGUACCUGCAGAAAAAGCACCGGCUAACUACGUGCCAGCCGCCGCAGUAA